rnacentral:rRNA from 2 species
UACGUAGGUGGCGAGCGUUGUCCGGAAUUAUUGGGCGUAAAGGAUGCGUAGGUGGUCUUUUAAGUGAGAUGUGAAAUCCCUGGGCUUAACCCAGGAACUGCAUUUCAAACUGGAAGACUAGAGUGCAGGAGAGGAAAGUGGAAUUCCUAGUGUAGCGGUGAAAUGCGUAGAGAUUAGGAGGAACACCAGUGGCGAAGGCGACUUUCUGGACUGUAACUGACACUGAGGCAUGAAAGCGUGGGGAGCAAACAGG